UACAGGGGGUGCAAACGUUGCUCGGAAUUACUGGGCGUAAAGGGCUCGUAGGCGGCCAACUAAGUCAGGCGUGAAAUCCCUCGGCUUAACCGGGGAACUGCGUCUGAUACUGGAUGGCUUGAGUUUGGGAGAGGGAUGCGGAAUUCCAGGUGUAGCGGUGAAAUGCGUAGAUAUCUGGAGGAACACCGGUGGCGAAGGCGGCAUCCUGGACCAACACUGACGCUGAUGAGCGAAAGCCAGGGGAGCAAACAGG
rnacentral:rRNA from 1 species